UAUAGAGACACUAAAAAUGUGCAUAAACGAAAAAAAUGGGAUAAGUGUAGAACUCCAUAUAAGUUAUACAUAGGUUAUGGCUCAUUUACAAAGAAUAGUUUACACCUUCAGAAAUAACAUCUUUAGUUGAAAUCCUGGAGCAACUGUGGAGCUUAGGUAGUUCAGGAGAUAGUUCUGGCAUCUAGCUAUAUAGUCUUAUGCGAGUUUUAAUUGGCUCUCGACAUAAAGGACACAAUUGUAUCGUGGCACCACACUCCUUGCAUGUCAGAUGACCACAUCCAAAAGCCAUGUCCUUUGGGUUUGUCAAGCAAAUAGGACAAACUUGUUCUGCAGCUCCUGAGUCAACAGGUUCAUAGCUUGUCACAUGUGGUACUGAUUUGACAGCAACGUCAUGAUCAAUUACUUCACGAGGAGGAGGUAAUGGCCUUGUACGAGGGCCUCUAUUGCUUUCCCUGAAUCGAAGGCGUUGUGUGGCUCGGUACUGAAAUGGAAUUUCCAUUAGUGCAGCAAGAGCAAAGGCUGUUUCCUUCUUGGCCAUCUCUGAACGCUCAGACAUGAUCUUUGUAAAAUUAACGAACUGGAAGUUAUCAAAUGCCCGUUGUGGAAUGUUAUCAUCAAACCGUUUCAUUUCAUCCCAUGGGCCAUCUCCAACACCAACGAGAAUAAUUGAAAGAGGAUAUUCACUAGCAGCAACAAUGGAAUUUACUGUAGCCUGUUCUUGAGGGCUAAGGCUUCCAUGUGGAGUGUCAAGACUCCUUGUUACCUGUCCGUCUGCGAUAAUGACAAGGACAUGAUACUGCCCAUUAUUUGCUUCCACUAUAUCAAUUGCAGCAUUGACUAUUGGGGCAAAUGAAGUUGGACCUGAUAAUUUCAGAUAAGGAACAAUUUCCUUAUAUCUUGUAAGAGCUUCCUCAAAUCCAUCGCAAGGCCGAUGAUCAGGGUAAAAGCUAAACACAUGCUGAUCGUGUGUGGUUGCGUCACCAAAUCCAAAACAUGGUAUCAGGUUGUCUUCAUCAAAAGGAGACAAGGUUCGCCCAAUUAUAGAGAUGGCUUGCUCGUAUGGGUUGGCUGUGUGACCAACUGAGUGGAGGCUUCUCCUGUUGAAUGAAGACUUCCCUACAACCUCGAAGUUGUCAACCCAUCACCUCCACAACUUGAGACAAACACAAUGACUAAUA
rnacentral:misc_RNA from 1 species